rnacentral:rRNA from 1 species
UUGACCUCGGAUCAGGAGGG